rnacentral:rRNA from 1 species
UACGGCUCAGUAACACGUUGGCAACCUACCUUUAGGCCAGGAAUAACCUUGGGAAACUGAGGCUAAUACCUGAUAGGGAAAUAAUUCUGGAACGAAUGUUUCUUCAAAGAUUACACCUAAAGAUGGGCCAGCGGUCGAUUAGGUUGUUGGUGAGGUAAUGGCUCACCAAGCCAGUGAUCGAUAGGGGCCUUGAGAGAGGGAGCCCCGAGAAGGGUACUGAAAUACUGACCCUAGCCCUACGGGGUGCAGCAGGCGCGAAACCUUUACAAUACACGAAAGUGUGAUAAGGGGAUUCCAAGUGCUCAUGUUCUGCAUGGGCUUUUGUUAAGAGUAAAUAUCUUAGCGAAUAAGUGGUGGGCAAGACUGGUGCCAGCAGCCGCGGUAACACCAGCGCCACGAGUGGGAAUCAGUUUUAUUGGGCCUAAAGCGUCCGUGGCCGGUUUGUCAAAUCUCUUGUGAAAUCGUUAAGCUCAACUUAACGGCGUGCAGGAGACACUAACAAACUAGGAACCGGGAGGAGUCAGAAGUAUUCCGGGGGGAGCGGUAAAAUGCGAUAAUCCUCGGAAGACUACCUGUGGCGAAGGCGUCUGACUAGAACGGAUUCGACGGUGAGGGACGAAAGCCAGGGGAGCAAAUCGGGUUAGAUACCCGAGUAGUCCUGGCCGUAAACGCUGCGAGCUAGGUGUUGCGCAAUUUUCGUGAUUGUGCAGUAUCGAAGCGAAGGCAUUAAGCUCGCCGCCUGGGAAGUACGGUCGCAAGAUUGAAACUUAAAGGAAUUGGCGGGGGAGCAC